rnacentral:misc_RNA from 1 species
AAGUCGUAACAAGGUCUCCGUAGGUGAACCUGCGGAGGGAUCAUCACAGGAAGAAUAACUUGAGUUCUCACUCACCAAGUUGCGGGGAGUGUGUGUGUGUGGGGAGGGAGAGUCAAAGUUUUUGGGGGUUUGCAUACUCUGCAAUACUUUCUGGGAGCCUUGGCUUUCUUUCUCACAACGCGCUCCCUGCAGCUUCAUCCAAACGAUCACAACAACAAUAUUAUCAGAGAAAUUUGACUUGGUGUGAAUGUGAAUGCGGUGCCGUUUUAUAAAAGAAAAAGUGUUUGCCUGACAGAUGAUAUUCUCUCAAUGCCAUUGAUUUGUAUUUGUGGUGGUUGGGUUUGAAAAUAAUCAAUAUACAACUUUCAACAACGGAUCUCUUGGCUCUCA